AAGACUAUACUUUCAGGGAUCAUUUCUAUAGUUCCUUACCAGAGAAAUUUCUCUGACUGUACAGAGAACCCAAGUGCAGCAAGGAGGUUGUGAUGGCUAUUCUUGGUUGU
rnacentral:snoRNA from 1 species